rnacentral:lncRNA from 1 species
GGGCGUCAGAAGUUGGGCCACUGUGUAUUUUCCCCCAAGUUCUCCCCUGGAUGCUUUGGGAAAUGUGGCCCCCAGAAAUGUGCCAGGAGUCCCAGUGUCCAGAAAGUACAUGGAGGGGAGCCUUUGAACUGGGGUGGACAACUCAUUCUUUGCAAUGGAAAUUGUCCUAGACUCCCAGGAAGACUGAGAACUCACCACUAAGUGAGUUAAGUUCUUGGUAUUUCACCCAUGUGGUAAUGUACGUAGACUCUGGACCUCAAACCCGGGCUCUGCCACUUACCCUCUGUGUGCUCUUAGGCAAGUCAUUGCACUUCUCUGUGCCUCAGCCUCUCAAUCCGUAAAAUGGUAUGACAACAAUGGUCACCUACCUGACAGAUAAUUGUGAGCAGCAAAUGGGUUAAUGCAUUUAAAGCUGUGCUUGGUUCAGAAGUAGAAACUCAGGAGGAGAUGGAUCAGGGUCAGAUCAGGUACUAUGAGACCAAGUUUUCCACCCAGCUUGGAGCCCAGAUACAGUGUCCUCAAUUCUCCCAAGCCAAUCAGCAGGACUUUCAACCCAAACCUCUACAGGGUACUGACCAGCGGGAAAGGGGGAGAUGCUGCCAAGACCUGGCUCCUUUUUGAUCUUUAUUUAAAGGGGAUUAGGAAAUCCUGUAGAAAUGAAAAAGNCUAAAGUGAGACUACCGUAAGGGUAGAAUUUUUAAAGCAGGCAGAUCAAAGAGGUACCUCUCGGUGCUUCCAGCAUCCGAAGCUAGCCUUUUCAUCAGCCUUCAGAGUGCCUGGAGGUCAGUGGACAACGGUGUGGUUUGUCCCUCCCAACCCCCUGUGCUUUCCAGUCAGCAGAGCUCCACAGCUUGUUUUUCUCCCUGCAACACAAAAAGGGAAAGAAGCAAGCUUCCAGUGACUGCUUGGCUGUGUGCCCCACAUGGGGCCAGCAUGUCGCUUGCAUCACCUCAUUUAUCCCUGUGACAACUUUGUAAGGUAAAGAGUAUUAUGCCCUUGAUUCAAAUGAAGAAGUUAGCUCUCAGACCAACUGUCUCUUGCUUCCGGUCAUACCCCUUGACAAAUGGGCAGCCAAGAUUCAAAUCCAGUUCUGCUCCCAACACACACACUCUUCCCAUUGUCUGAUGGGGAAAUCACCUUGGGUGCUGAGCUCCCACAAAAGUAUAAGACAAUUUGGGAA